UCUGGCCGUGCUGGCAGCUGAUUAGAUUGUGGCCACCCAGAUUGAAGGUGGGUCUGCAUUUUCCAGUCCACUGACUCAAAUUUUAGUCUCCUUUGGCAACACUUUCACAGACACACCCAGGAACAAUACUUUGUAUCCUUCAAUCCAAUCAAGUUGACGCUCAAUAUUAACCACCACACUGAAGGUCUCAUCAGACAUCUUGGUUAAGCAGCUUCUUAUUAAAGAUUUAUUUGAAUCUUGGGACAUGCUUUGAACAACAAAGACAAGAUUAUCACAAUUACAGCAGCUGUACAGAUACCACUAUUUGGUGGAGCCAUGAUUGAAUUGAUCAAACGGUAUUUAUCUUCUUGACUCCCUCUUUGGUAAAGACCUUUUUUUUUAAUAUACAUGUGCAUUGUUGGUGGUUGUGGGGUGCCUAGUUCUCCAUUCAAUUGGCUUGCAAGGCUUAAGUUUCCUCCAUACAAUUAGGACAUGUCUAGACCAAACCUAGGCUCUGUGAUAUCACAGGCAUUAUAUAAUGAUAUACCUGGUCUAGGGAAUCUUGGCCCAGAUUUUAACCAAAAUGGUGCUUCUUUUGCUCAUAGUUUCUAAGACAAUAAAAGCCCAUUUCCAGGUGGACUAGACUUAUAUUAUUAUCAGUUUGGACAGUGGCAUUUAAGUGUAAACUGCUUAUGAUUCUCACAUCAAUAGUAUAAUGACACCAAAUAACUUAACAAAAGAUGGAUUGAAACUCUUUGUGUACUUGCUUACUUUGCAACCUGCCCACCAGUUAACUGGUGAUUUCAAGUAAAGCACAUAUAAACCAAACUCUUCUUGCUAUGAUGCACACAAAAGACACAAACAUAAUACUUCCUUGUUUGAAAUCUGUUGUCUGGGGACCGUGAAGUACAGAAGGCAUUGUUAGUUGUGUUAGAUUCUUUUAUUCUUUUGUUUCUGUUUUCCCAACAUAUCUGAUUAUCGAAAAUGUGACCUUUCUUAAUUGUCAAAAAUUGGGCUAUUGCCUUACAGAGUGAAGCUAUGCACACAAGGUUUGAAUAUCCAUUCUCAGCAUUGUUUGCACAAAAAUGAACAAGUUUUCCAGCAACCAGAUAGUACUUUGGUAUCAGUUAGAUGACUAGAGAAGAAAUACAUAUUGAAUUUUAGCCUAUGCUCCUAUUCUAAUAUAUAACAUAUAUUAUCUGUUUUUUCAGACCCUUGCUAGACUUUUUAUUUUAUUUUUUAAAUCUUUGGCUUCCAGAUGGCUAAUCUGAAGUUAUAUUUGUAUCCUUCAUGUGAGCAG
rnacentral:lncRNA from 10 species